rnacentral:lncRNA from 1 species
CAUGCUGUCUGGUGUUUUCCACGACUUGUAUGUCGUCACAAAAAAAUAUAAAUAGCUUUAAACAACAAUCGGUACACUCGGGCUUUUCAAUAGUAUUAUCGUAAUAUAAUUUCUUCCGAAGUCAAUAACCAACUUCUUGGUUAUUCGUCUUGGACAUUAUCUUUAAAUACAAGCUAAAAAAUCCGAUACUAUUCCGAAUGUCAUAAAUUACCAUUUUUAUAUCACUUGUCAUCCAGACGCUCUACUUUGAAAAAUAAAGCGGCUGGAUGAUCGAGACUA